ACGCCGCCCGCACGGACCCGCGGACGGGAGGGCGACGCGGCGAACGCGCCUUGAGUGUUCACAAACAAGAUAGAGGUGCAAGUGUGAUGUUCAGUGCAAAGCACGGCAGUAGCGAAAACGCCACAAAGAUCCAAGACUAUUUUUCAACUGAUACCUAGAAUCCUUUAAUUAGAUUCAGAGGCAGAGCGUUAAGAUUUGGCCAAAUCGGAACUGCAACUCAGAAAUAACUUAGGACAGUUAAUAGGUGAUUUUUUUAAAUGUAUAGUUAUAGCUAUCGCACAUCAUUUUUACAAAGUCGUGCAUUAACUAAUGGAGCAGAAGCACCACCUAUUAAGAUUCAAAUUCAGAAACAUAAUCUAAUACUACAAACUUUCCUUCGCAAUAUGCUUCAUUAUUUUACAUUCAAUGUUCGUUAUCAUAUGAAGCCAUGAAUCUAUAUAACUUGAAAGCAAUUUAUCCAAUCACGAACACACUCACAAAACAAAUCCAACUAGUUUUUAUUCUUUUUUUAUUUCCCGACAGUCAGCUGAAAAAAAUAAAAGAAUCUCUAGUUCAGUUUUCCACAUAAUUAAAACAAGAAGAAACUCUCAAGCCGCCUUAACUUACACAGCGGGCCCCAUGCCUGGCGCUGGGAGGAAUGGCGAGGCUGUCCUGUCCCUAGGGCAGAGGGCUUGCGGGGCUGAGCACCUGAGCACAAGUACUUCGUGGUCAAGAGUGUUCCACAUUGCUGACAUUCAGCUCAGCCUCAGAAGCACCCUUGACAACUACCGAUGGCCACAGCCAAAUGGUUACCUGUAAAGUGGCCACUGCACCGUUUUCAGACAUGACAACACGAUUGCUGGACCCUGAAGACAUCUUAGCUGGUGACCUACAAACAUCUGCUUGCAGGAUCUUCUUGGAGCAAGCCUUAGACAUCCAGGAAGUAGCAGGAGCCCCAAGGUUCAGUUUCUCAAGAGCACCAAGUAGGUGCACGGCAGGGGAAGCAAUGCCUUGUGUUUCACACACAGGGUAUCUUCUCCUCUAUCUACUAUUAAACCUGGUUAAGAGCAAAAUGAGGCUCCUUGCCUUUCCCCG
rnacentral:lncRNA from 1 species